rnacentral:tRNA from 1 species
GGAGAGGUGUCCGAGAGGCCGAUGGAGCGCGGUUGGAAACCGCGUGUUCGGAUACAAGUCCGGACCGGGGGUUCGAAUCCCCCCCUCUCCGCCA